UUAAUGGUGCGGGGGAACUGCGUACGCGGUUGAGAGGACGAGGUCCGACCCUUUGAACCUGUAGGUUAAGACCUGCGUAGGGAGCACACCCGUCGGAGCG
rnacentral:ncRNA from 2 species